UACGAAGGGGGCUAGCGCUGCUCGGAAUCACUGGGCGUAAAGCGCACGUAGGCGGCUUCUUAAGUCAGGGGUGAAAUCCUGGAGCUCAACUCCAGAACUGCCUUUGAUACUGAGGAGCUUGAGUCCGGGAGAGGUGAGUGGAACUGCGAGUGUAGAGGUGAAAUUCGUAGAUAUUCGCAAGAACACCAGUGGCGAAGGCGGCUCACUGGCCCGGUACUGACGCUGAGGUGCGAAAGCGUGGGGAGCAAACAGG
rnacentral:rRNA from 1 species